rnacentral:rRNA from 1 species
CCUGCAUAUAAAACGCGCCAUCGGAUCUCUCCACUUCUCGGAUCGUCCGCGCUCCACACUCUCCCACGCAGCGACCAACACCCUCCCCCAUUCCAUUCCGUCCGCCCACCACACCACCUACCCAGAGACCAUACCAUCACCAUGAGAGGGCGAGAGACGCCCCCCAAGGCUCGCAGCGGCGCGGCGACCCCGAGCUGCCCGCAGAGCCCGCUCCGCAUCACGCACGACGGCGAGUUCUACGCGCGGCUGCUCACCAGGGAGAGCUCCCUCGCCAACCCCUCCUUCCGCUACUACGGCGCCGGCCCCGCCGCCGUGCCCUUCGGCUGGGAGUCCCAGCCGGGCACGCCCAAGGACGCCACCUCCUGCUGCAGGAAGGCGCUCCCCGCCGUCCCGGCCAUCACCCCGCCGCCGUCCUACCACGCGCGGGCCGCCACCGCGUCGUCGUACGGCGACAGCGGCAGGCUGCAGGGCCGCAGGAGCAAGGGCGCCCCCGCCGGCGACAGGAGCUGCAAGUGCUGCUGCGGCGGCUACAGGAGGCUCAAGUGGGUCAAGAUCGGCUUCAUCGCCGCCGUGUUCCGCCGGAUCGCGCUCGGCAGGUCCCGGGUGUCCUCGUCCGCGGCGUCGGUGCAGUCGUCCUCGUCGUCCACCCGCUGGCUCUUCUCCGGCGGCUCGAGCAGCUGCCUGGACGAAGCCGGCGCCCACCACUACCAGUACUACGAGGCGCCGGCCAUGACGGGGAUGCUCUGCCUCGGGGUCCGGCCGAGCCCGUGGAUGGUGAAGUUCUGCGGCGGCCGGAGGGAACCCGUCUGGGUGCAGGGCGGGCCGUAG